rnacentral:tRNA from 1 species
UAGAUUGAAGCCCGCUGGWUUGGGUUUUUAGUUGUUAACUAAAGGUUUAUGGGAUCAAGGCCCGUCGAUCUAG